rnacentral:rRNA from 1 species
GAUGAACGCUAGCGGCAGGCUUAACACAUGCAAGUCGAACGGCAGCACAGGUAGCAAUACUGGGUGGCGAGUGGCGCACGGGUGCGUAACGCGUAUGCAACCUACCUCUAUCUGGGAGAUAGCCCGAAGAAAUUCGGAUUAAUACCCCAUAAUAUAUGUCUUUCGCAUGUUAGACAUAUUAAAGCUUUGGCGGAUAGAGAUGGGCAUGCGUGACAUUAGCUAGUUGGUAAGGUAACGGCUUACCAAGGCUACGAUGUCUAGGGGGUCUGAGAGGAUUAUCCCCACACUGGUACUGAGACACGGACCAGACUCCUACGGGAGGCAGCAGUGAGGAAUAUUGGACAAUGGGCGAAAGCCUGAUCCAGCCAUGCCGCGUGCAGGAAGACGGCCCUAUGGGUUGUAAACUGCUUUUAUAUGGGAAUAAACCUCCGAACGUGUUCGGAGCUGAAGGUACCAUACGAAUAAGGAUCGGCUAACUCCGUG